AGAUGGGCAUGCGUAUGAUUAGCUAGUUGGAGAGGUAAUGGCUCCCCAAGGCAACGAUCAUUAGGGGUUCUGAGAGGAAGGUCCCCCACACUGGUACUGAGACACGGACCAGACUCCUACGGGAGGCAGCAGUGAGGAAUAUUGGUCAAUGGGCGAGAGCCUGAACCAGCCAAGUCGCGUGAAGGAAGAAUGUCCUAUGGAUUGUAAACUUCUUUUUUAGGGGAAUAAAGUGCACCACGUGUGGUGUUUUGUAUGUACCCUACGAAUAAGGAUCGGCUAACUCCGUGCCAGCAGCCGCGGUAAUACGGAGGAUCCAAGCGUUAUCCGGAUUUAUUGGGUUUGAAGGGUGCGCAGGCGGGAUAAUAAGUCAGUGGUGAAAGUUUGCAGCUUAACUGUAAAAUUGCCGUUGAAACUGUUAUUCUUGAGUGCAGACAAGGUAGGCGGAAUGUAUUGUGUAGCGGUGAAAUGCUUAGAUAUAAUACAGAACCCCGAUUGCGAAGGCAGCUUACCGGACUGUAACUGACGCUCAGGCACGAAAGCGUGGGGAUCAAACAGGAUUAGAUACCCUGGUAGUCCACGCAGUAAACGAUGAAUACUAGCUUUCGCGAUAUACAGCGAAGUGGCACAGCGAAAGCGUUAA
rnacentral:rRNA from 1 species